GACGAACGCUGGCGGCGCGCUUAACACAUGCAAGUCGAACGGAAAGGCCUGCUUUCCCUUGUGGAUUGCGGGUACUCGAGUGGCGAACGGGUGAGUAACACGUGAGUGAUCUGCCCCCAACUUGGGUAUAAGCCUGGGAAACUGGGUCUAAUUCCCGAUAGGACUGCAGGGUGGUGCCUGUGGUGGAAAACGAUUUUCUAGUGGUUGGGGAUGAGCUCGCGGCCUAUCAGCUUGUUGGUGGGGUAAUGGCCUACCAAGGCGGCGACGGGUAGCCGGCCUGAGAGGGUGGACGGCCACAUUGGGACUGAGAUCCGGCCCAGACUCCUACGGGAGGCAGCAGUGGGGGAUAUUGCACAAUGGGCGGAAGCCUGAUGCAGCGACGCCGCGUGGGGGAUGACGGCCUUCGGGUUGUAAACUCCUUUCGACCGCGAGGAAGCCACCUGGUUGGAAGGGUGGUGACGGUAGUGGUAGAAGAAGCACCGGCUAACUACGUG
rnacentral:rRNA from 1 species